rnacentral:rRNA from 1 species
CAUCUAAGCACGAAACUUGCCCCGAGAUGAGUUCUCCCUGACCCUUUAAGGGUCCUGAAGGAACGUUGAAGACGACGACGUUGAUAGGCCGGGGGUGUAAGCGCAGCGAUGCGUUGAGCUAACCGGUACUAAUGAACCGGGAGGCUUAACCUUACAACGCCGAAGGUGUUU